rnacentral:rRNA from 1 species
ACGGAAGGCAGCAGUGGGGAAUAUUGCACAAUGGGGGAAACCCUGAUGCAGCGACGCCGCGUGAGUGAAGAAGUAUUUCGGUAUGUAAAGCUCUAUCAGCAGGAAAGAAAAUGACGGUACCUGACUAAGAAGCCCCGGCUAACUACGUGCCAGCAGCCGCGGUAAUACGUAGGGGGCAAGCGUUAUCCGGAUUUACUGGGUGUAAAGGGAGUGUAGACGGCUUUGCAAGUCUGAAGUGAAAGCCCGGGGCUCAACCCCGGAACUGCUUUGGAAACUGUAGAGCUGGAGUGCAGGAGAGGUAAGUGGAAUUCCUAGUGUAGCGGUGAAAUGCGUAGAUAUUAGGAGGAACACCAGUGGCGAAGGCGGCUUACUGGACUGUAACUGACGUUGAGGCUCGAAGGCGUGGGGAGCAAACAGGAUUAGAUACCCUGGUA